rnacentral:rRNA from 1 species
GACAGAGGUGCCAAGCGUUAGGCGGAAUCACUGGGCUUAAAGCGUGUGUAGGCGGAUCGUUAAGUACCUUGUGAAAUCCCACGGCUCAACCGUGGAACUGCUGGGUAUACUGGCGAUCUUGAGCCACCUAGGGGCGAGCGGAACAAGCGGUGGAGCGGUGAAAUGCGCAGAUAUCAGGAGGAACACCGGUGGCGAAGGCGGGUCUCUGGGCCGAUACUGACGCUGAGGAGCGAAAGCGUGGGGAGCGAACAGG